GUGAGUGUGAGUGUGAGAGCGAGAACAGCCCGCAGGUCCCGAGGCGCUUGCUGGGGACUCUGCCGCGGAAAGUUCCCAGUCCCCAGCCGCAGCUACUCUGGAAAACAGGAAGCGAGCUCAACCCAUCCCAAGCCCAAACCACCAAGAUAUGUGAAGUUCAUACAGCAGAAAUAAUGAGAUUUUCUGAUAAGAGAUAUGGAAUGAAAAAUAGUUCUGCCCGGCACUCAUUCCCAGAUCAUCCUUCUCACUGGACACUGACGACCUUGGAGACUGUGGGAGAUGCAGAAAAGGGUACUGAGGUCUUGCAAUUUUGGAAGUCUCCCUUGAAAUGAGACACAAAACUUAGAAGAUACUGGUUGGAAAGUCCUUGCCGUCCAUUUCUGCCACAGCUCUGACUGCCAUGGAUUGUAUUUUACAGGAGUUUCCAUUAAGGACUUGAUGAACCAGUUAUGCCAUUGGGCCUUGUAGAUACACUUGAACCACGAGGAUUCCAGAGCACACAACUUUCUGGAUCUAUGAAAUGGUGACCACCGAAAGUCUUUUUGUGCUUCUAAAACUGAACACUGGCACAUGCAUGAUUCAGAAGGGAAGAUUUUUUGUUCACAACAUGAGAUUCUGGACAGACCAUUGUCAAAGUACCCACAUAUAAUGAGGACAUUUACACUAUAUCUGAUGUUAGAAGGCUAAAUGGGAAGAAAAUGCAUGAAGGAUUAAGAGUGAGGGAAGUCAACUUCUCUUUAAAAUAACUCAACAAUUCCCACGACAAAAGCUCUGAGUACAGAAGUCUUUGCUCGAGUUUAACCAUCUCUCACAUGUGCCUCAUGUCAACAAUCCUUCAUUGGUGAUUAAUAUCCAACACCUGAUUGCCAAAGGCAUGUUCAUGGUGCCAGCUUUCACUAAUUUGUCCUACUCGUUCAAGGAAAUGUAUUCACAGAAUGCCUCAUGUAGAGUUGAUUUUUUCUCAUUUUUCAAUAUCUCUUACAUCUCUGUUGUGGGCUUUCUACAUCAUUGUGUCAUUUAUAUAUGAAUUAACAUUAUCAUUAUUUUGAAAAUUUUGAGUUUGUAUGUAGUCUUUCCAAAAUUCCAAAUUGACUGAAUUUUGGAACAACUUACUUUUUUAAAAUAGGCUAGUCGUCUUCAUUUUUACUUUUCUUUAUGUGUUUAGGCACAGAAACAUAAUUAAUUUGUAUUAUUUAAAGUGAAUUGGUGUUUGGAAUACACAUAUGAUGAACUAUCUAACUAAUUGCCAUCUAACUCAAUUAAUAGAUUUUUUCCAUAUGCAAUUGUAAUUUUAAUUUUAGUUUAUCAUUUUACAAUUAUAACAAAGAUGAUACUUUUUAAACUUUUUCUUUAAUAUCUUGUUAAAAAAUGUAAAUUAUCAAAUCUGCCUUCAUCUUAUGUUUUGAUUUCGUCCCCAUCCCCUACCUCACUAUUCUCUCUCAAAUUCUCAAGCUCUUUAUUUUAUUUUUUAAACCCAUUGAGUCCAGUUGGUGCUGUCAGUGUGUACAUGAGUGUGGAAUCAUCUGCUGGUGCACAAGGGUCUUGUGGACUUUCCUGUAUAUCACACCCCUUCUACUAAGGUUGAGGGAUCAAGGCUGGGCAUUGAAGAUGGAUUAUUGGAUGUUCUUUUUUGAGGUAUUGUCUCAUGGGUUUUUUUUUUCAUUCUUUUUUUUUAUUGAGAAAAGGAGAAAAAGAAAAAAAAAACAAGUUUCCACCU